rnacentral:rRNA from 1 species
UACGAAGGGUGCUAGCGUUGUUCGGAAUCACUGGGCGUAAAGCGCGCGUAGGCGGCUUGACAAGUCAGAGGUGAAAUCCCCAGGCUCAACCUGGGAACUGCCUUUGAAACUGUUAGGCUGGAGUGUCGGAGGGGAUGGCGGAAUUGCUAAUGUAGAGGUGAAAUUCGUAGAUAUUAGCAGGAACACCGGUGGCGAAGGCGGCCAUCUGGACGACAACUGACGCUGAGGCGCGAAAGCGUGGGGAUCAAACAGG